UACGAAGGGUGCAAACGUUGCUCGGAAUUAUUGGGCGUAAAGCGCACGUAGGCGGCUCUGCAAGUCGGAUGUGAAAUCCCUCGGCUCAACCAAGGAAGUGCAUCCGAAACUGCGGAGCUUGAGUACUUAAGAGGAUCGCGGAAUUCCCGGUGUAGAGGUGAAAUUCGUAGAUAUUGGGAAGAACACCGGUGGCGAAGGCGGCGACCUGGUUCGUGACUGACGCUGAGGCGCGAAAGCGUGGGGAGCAAACAGG
rnacentral:rRNA from 1 species